CCUUAUCACUUUAGAGGAAGGAGAAGUCGUAACAAGGUUUCCGUAGGUGAACCUGCGGAAGGAUCAUUGUCGUUGCCUCACAAACGGGACCACUCGCGAAUUGGUUGAAACACUCCCGAGGUGGUAGACGAGCGGCGUGCGUCGCCCUGAGUCCCCCGCUCGGUGCCCGGGUGCUAACUAUAGCUUCGGGCAACCCCAAUAAAAACCCCGGCGCUGGUUGCGCCAAGGAAAUGAAACUUACGUGUGUGGCCUCGGCGAACCGGAGACGGUUCUUGUCCGGGGCCGUGACGAAAAUGAAAUUAAAAAUGACUCUCGGCAACGGAUAUCUCGGCUCUCGCAUCGAUGAAGAACGUAGCGAAAUGCGAUACUUGGUGUGAAUUGCAGAAUCCCGUGAACCAUCGAGUCUUUGAACGCAAGUUGCGCCCGAAGCCACUAGGCCGAGGGCACGUCUGCCUGGGUGUCACGCAUCGUAGCCCCAAGCCACGUCCACCCCCCGAUUGAUCAGGGGCGACGAGGUGCUUGGGGGGAAUUUGGCCUCCCGUGAUCCGUGCAUUGCGGAUGGCCGAAAAAGGAGCCUGUGCGGGGCAAUCGCCACGUUCCACGGUGGAUGAGCAGAUGCCUCGAGACCGACCUUGUGUUGGUUGUCCCUACGGAUGGGCUGUCAGACCCUUUGGGAGCGACGAAGCUUUCCCGAAGCGACCCCAGGUCACGCGGGGCUACCCGCUGAGUUUAAGCAUAUCAAUAAGCGGGAAGGAAA
rnacentral:rRNA from 1 species